rnacentral:rRNA from 1 species
GUUAUAGGGUCAAGCGAACAAGUGCAUGUGGUGGAUGCCUUGGCGAUCACAGGCGAUGAAGGACGCGGUAGCCUGCGAAAAGCUGCGGGGAGCUGGCAAACGAGCUUUGAUCCG